ACUCCUACGGGAGGCAGCAGUGGGGAAUAUUGGACAAUGGGCGAAAGCCUGAUCCAGCCAUGCCGCGUGUGUGAAGAAGGUCUUCGGAUUGUAAAGCACUUUAAGUUGGGAGGAAGGGCGAGUAAGUUAAUACCUUGCUGUUUUGUACGUUACCAACAGAAUAAGCACCGGCUAACUUCGUGCCAGCAGCCGCGGUAAUACGAAGGGGUGCAAGCGUUAAUCGGAAUUACUGGGGCGUAAAGCGCGCGUAGGUGGUUCAGCAAGUUGGAUGUGAAAUCCCCGGGGCUCAACCUGGGAACUGCAUCCAAAACUACUGAGCUAGAGUACGGUAGAGGGUGGUGGAAUUUCCUGUGUAGCGGUGAAAUGCGUAGAUAUAGGAAGGAACACCAGUGGCGAAGGCGACCACCUGGACUGAUACUGACACUGAGGUGCGAAAGCGUGGGGAGCAAACAGGAUUAGAUACCCCUGGUAGGAUAG
rnacentral:rRNA from 1 species